rnacentral:misc_RNA from 1 species
GAGGUGGCAAUAGAGAGCACAGACGGCGGUUUGUUAACCAAUAUUAAAAAGGCUUUAGAAUACAACUAUAGUGUUUCCUGUUAAAAAAUAUCGAUUAACAGCAUCUGAGGUAUUGAGAAUCAAAGAACUGCAUUCCUUAACAAAUAUCAAAUAUUCAUAUGAACCAGGGUUGCGUUAAUGGAUUUAGCAAUGGUCUAGGAGGUCAUCCGUAUGACAUAUAAAGUAAAUGGAUAUACAGUGUAGGCUAUUUUGGAGUGAUUGUUAGAGGAAAUAAGCCAAUAACCAUUGGCCAAUAAUACGAUUAGACGCUCUUCGGUUAGCGAACACAAACAGUCAAACAACAUGGUUGACGUGAAGAAAGCAACGUGGAUAGACUACGUUCGAUUCAUUCUCAGUGCCCUUCUCCUCUUAUUCUCACUAGUUGUGACAUUUUAUGCAAUAGUAGAGCGCAAAACAGGGUUUUGGAAGGAAGUACCCGGAUGGGUAGCUUUAAUUUUGUUCAUUAUUGAUUUGUUUCUACUUGGAAUUGUUGAGGGAUUACAGAUUGCGUUGGUGGAGUUAAAACGACAGCAUCCUGAUUCCUACAAGAAAUCCCACCCGGCUGCUUACAGGCUUGGACAGAUUGCGGCCCAUGGUGACAAUGUCGAACGCUUUCUAAUCGGGCGACAAGUGUUCGUCGUAAUUUUGGUUUUCUUUUGCGCUAAGUUGACCACGAUUCACGCGAACACAGAUGGAGGAAAGUUUUUAUUUCCAGUUCCGUUCUGGUUCCAGGCAGCUUUCCUUGAAACGGGCCUUUUAGCGUGUAUAAUUGUUGUUACAAUAGCGCAAUUAAUGCCCCAAAUAGUGGCUGCUAAAUACCCCGUCCACUUUCUUCAGAUCGUCAUCAUGAGGCCCGCCUAUUACGCAUGCGUAUUUGUUGAAAUAACAGGUAUUGCCCAUAUAUGUUGGCUUCUGGCUGCAUUCUUUGAAUUCUGCUUCCGUUGGAAAGACGACGAAAGUACGGUCAAUCCAAAUGACAUCCUAGCUGCGGAUGAAAUCCUCAACGAAAUUGAAGGGUCAUUAAGCGAUGACACGAACGACUCUGACAAUACACCAGGAGACAGCACAUCUGUCGAUAUGGGCGAUAACGUUGAAAAACAACCUCUUGUUGGAUUACACCACAAACUUGAAACUACAAAAUACACCCACCUCGUUGAUAAGCUAAACAAUCAAGUGGAACCAGAUACUCUUCGUAUUUUGCGACACUACCUCGACAAUCACCCGGAGAAGUUUCAUAAGUUCCCCAGCAUGAUCGGGGGCAAGAUUUACCCAGCCCCCGGGAUGUUGGCGCA